GAUGAACGCUGGCGGCGUGCCUAAUACAUGCAAGUCGAGCGCACAGACGAGGAGCUUGCUCCUCUGACGUUAGCGGCGGACGGGUGAGUAACACGUGGAUAACCUACCUAUAAGACUGGGAUAACUUCGGGAAACCGGAGCUAAUACCGGAUAAUAUAUUGAACCGCAUGGUUCAAUAGUGAAAGACGGUUUUGCUGUCACUUAUAGAUGGAUCCGCGCCGCAUUAGCUAGUUGGUAAGGUAACGGCUUACCAAGGCAACGAUGCGUAGCCGACCUGAGAGGGUGAUCGGCCACACUGGAACUGAGACACGGUCCAGACUCCUACGGGAGGCAGCAGUAGGGAAUCUUCCGCAAUGGGCGAAAGCCUGACGGAGCAACGCCGCGUGAGUGAUGAAGGUCUUCGGAUCGUAAAACUCUGUUAUUAGGGAAGAACAAAUGUGUAAGUAACUAUGCACGUCUUGACGGUACCUAAUCAGAAAGCCACGGCUAACUACGUG
rnacentral:rRNA from 1 species